AGGGUGUAAACGCUGCAGACUUGGUGUUGGGGUCCUUUGAGGGCGCCCAGUGCCGGAGAGAAGUUGUUAAGCCUGCUGCUUGGGGAGUAUGUCCGCAAGGAUGAAACUUAAAGGAAUUGGCGGGGGAGCACCGCAACGGGAGGAGCGUGCGGUUCAAUUGGAUUCAACGCCGAAAAACUCACCAGGAGCGACGGAUAUAUGAAGGUCAAGUUGAUGACUUUACCUGAUUUUCCGAGAGGUGGUGCAUGGCGUAGUCGUGU
rnacentral:rRNA from 1 species